GGGAAAACAUAAUUUGGAAAAAUUUGAAACUAAAUCAAGUUUAAUGAGGGAACUUAGUAAAUAAGAUCAAGACCAGGAAUACUCCCACCCAUCUUUGUCCUGGAAUGCAUUUCUCUGUAUUCAUGGAAAUAACUUAAGCUUUUAUGAAUUAUCUAUUUGCAGCGUUCAACUUUCUCAAAUGGAACUUAAAUAUAUGUGUAUAUUUUUGGUAGAAUGGGGAAUGCUUGAAUGCUUGGAUUAAACAUAUUAAUUCUAAUUAAUGAAGCCAAAUGAACAUGAAAAAAUGUGCACUAGGUUUAGCCUUCACAAAAACCACUCACAUUUGUUCAGCCUAUAAAUGAAGUCUCUUUUUAUUCUUAUCCUCUGGAAUGAUAGGUAAUGUUGAUGUUCUAUUUUAGAUUGCAGUAUUUGAAAGUGGCCUUCUGUGCCAUUUGUUCAGUGUAUAAUUGCAUCCAGUAAUGUUAGGUAAGAUUUGGAGGAAAAGAUGUUUGUAAAAUAUAUUUUAUGAUGUGUUGAGACUUGACAUUGCUAAUGUAGAGAUAUCAUCCUGUUGUUUCAAUGUGUAAUCAAACAAUAUGGUAAUCAAUCUUGCCAGGGAAUCAGUAAUUCUACCCUGAUCAUUCAAUCCUUUUUCACUUAACCCAUCCAUAUAUCUAUACUUCUUGAGAUAAAUUGAAAUGCUGGGUUGAUCUCCUUGAAGUUCAGUUUCAAAUUACUUGUAAAAUCAAUCUCAUUUGUUAACUGUUUUCCUUCCA
rnacentral:misc_RNA from 1 species